rnacentral:lncRNA from 1 species
CUAAUUUAAAUUAAAUGGCUUCGAAUUAAAAACCUUAAAUCCCUCCUCACCUGUCAAUCUCUUGAUGUUUUUGAUGCUAGAAUCAGAUUCUACACCUCGAAACCUUCGAUUUGGAUACUUGAACGCUGAAAUCUGAGUCCGAUAACGCUUCCAAAUCUUCGUUUGAAUCUCAAGAACACGAAAACACUCUCUCUAUAAACCCGUGUUUAACUGAGAUUAUGAUUUCCCCGAUGAAUUAGAG